rnacentral:rRNA from 1 species
GACGAACGCUGGCGGCGUGCUUAACACAUGCAAGUCGAACGGAAAGGCCCUGCUUUUGUGGGGUGCUCGAGUGGCGAACGGGUGAGUAACACGUGAGUAACCUGCCCUUGACUUUGGGAUAACUUCAGGAAACUGGGGCUAAUACCGGAUAGGAGCUCCUGCUGCAUGGUGGGGGAUGGAAAGUUUCGGCGGUUGGGGAUGGACUCGCGGCUUAUCAGCUUGUUGGUGGGGUAGUGGCUUACCAAGGCUUUGACGGGUAGCCGGCCUGAGAGGGUGACCGGCGACAUGGGGACUGAGAGACGGCCCAGACUCCUACGGGAGGCAGCAGGGGGGAAUAUUGCACAAUGGGCGGAAGCCUGAUGCAGCAACGCCGCGUGCGGGAUGACGGCCUUCGGGGUGUAAACCGCUUUCGCCUGUGACGAAGCGGGAGUGACGGUAAUGGGUAAAGAAGCACCGGCUAACUACGUG